GGCGAGUGGCGAACGGGUGAGUAAUACAUCGGAACGUACCCAGAAGUGGGGGAUGACGUAGCGAAAGUUACGCUAAUACCGCAUACGUUCUACGGAAGAAAGUGGGGGACCUUCGGGCCUCAUGCUUUUGGAGCGGCCGAUGUCUGAUUAGCUAGUUGGUGGGGUAAAGGCUCACCAAGGCGACGAUCAGUAGCUGGUCUGAGAGGACGACCAGCCACACUGGGGCUGAGACACGGCCCAGACUCCUACGGGAGGCAGCAGUGGGGAAUUUUGGACAAUGGGCGCAAGCCUGAUCCAGCACUGCCGCGUGAGUGAAGAAGGCCUUCAGGUUGUAAAGCUCUUUUGUCAGGGAAGAAACGGGAUUGGAUAAUACCUAGUCCUAAUGACGGUACCUGAAGAAUAAGCACCGGCUAACUACGUGCCAGCAGCCGCGGUAACACGUAGGGUGCAAGCGUUAAUCGGAAUUACUGGGCGUAAAGCGUGCGCAGGCGGUUUUGUAAGUCUGACGUGAAAGCCCCGGGCUCAACCUGGGAAUUGCGUUGGAGACUGCAAGGCUCGAAUCUGGCAGAGGGGGGUAGAAUUCCACGUGUAGCAGUGAAAUGCGUAAAGAUGUGGAGGAACACCGAUGGCGAAGGCAGCCCCCUGGGUCAAGAUUGACGCUCAUGCACGAAAGCGUGGGGAGCAAACAGGAUUAAAUACCCUGGUAGUCCACGCCCUAAACGAUGUCUACUAGUUGUCGGGUUUUAAUUAACUUGGCAACGCAGCUAACGCGUGAAGUAAACCGCCUGGGGAGUACGGUCGCAAGAUUAAAACUCAAAAGAAUUGACGGGGACCCGCACAAGCGGUGGAUGAUGUGGAUUAAUUCGAUGCAACGCGAAAAACCUUACCUACCCUUGACGUGGAAGGAAUCCUGAAGAGAUUUGGGAGUGCCCGAAAGGGAACCUUCACACAGGUGCUGCAUGGCUGUCGUCAGCUCGUGUCGUGAGAUGUUGGGUUAAGUCCCGCAACGAGCGCAACCCUUGUCAUUAGUUGCUAGCGCAAGAGCACUCUAAUGAGACUGCCGGUGACAAACCGGAGGAAGGUGGGGAUGACGUCAAGUCCUCAUGGCCCUUAUGGGUAGGGCUUCACACGUCAUACAAUGGUACAUACAGAGGGCCGCCAACCCGCGAGGGGGAGCUAAUCCCAGAAAGUGUAUCGUAGUCCGGAUUGUAGUCUGCAACUCGACUACAUGAAGUUGGAAUCGCUAGUAAUCGCGGAUCAGCAAGUCGCGGUGAAUACGUUCCCGGGUCUUGUACACACCGCCCGUCACACCAUGGGAGCGGGUUUUACCAGAAGUAGGUAGCUAACCGCAAGGAGGGCGCUACC
rnacentral:rRNA from 1 species